GACGAACGCUGGCGGCGUGCCUAAUACAUGCAAGUAGAACGCUGAAGAGAGGAGCUUGCUCUUCUUGGAUGAGUUGCGAACGGGUGAGUAACGCGUAGGUAACCUGCCUUGUAGCGGGGGAUAACUAUUGGAAACGAUAGCUAAUACCGCAUAACAAUGGAUGACACAUGUCAUUUAUUUGAAAGGGGCAAUUGCUCCACUACAAGAUGGACCUGCGUUGUAUUAGCUAGUAGGUGAGGUAAUGGCUCACCUAGGCGACGAUACAUAGCCGACCUGAGAGGGUGAUCGGCCACACUGGGACUGAGACACGGCCCAGACUUCUACGGGAGGCAGCAGGAGGGAAUCUUCGGCAAUGGGGGCAACCCUGACCGAGCAACGCCGCGUGAGGGAAGAAGGUUUUCGGAUCGGAAAGCUCUGUUGUAAGUCAAGAACGGGUGUGAGAGUGGAAAGUUCACACUGUGACGGUAGCUUACCAGAAAGGGACGGCUAACUACGUG
rnacentral:rRNA from 1 species